rnacentral:SRP_RNA from 1 species
GCCAGGCGUGGUGGUGCACGCCUGUAAUCCCAGCUACUCAGGAGGCUGAGACACAAGAAUUGCUUGAACCCGGGGGGCAGAGGUUGCAGUGAGCCAAGAUCAUGCCACUGCACUCCAGCCUGGGCAACAGAGCGAGACUCUGUCUCAA